rnacentral:rRNA from 1 species
UGGGGAAUAUUGGUCAAUGGGCGAAAGCCUGAUCCAGCCAUGCCGCGUGUGUGAAGAAGGCCUUUUGGUUGUAAAGCACUUUAAGCGAGGAGGAGGCUACUUAGAUUAAUACUCUAGGAUAGUGGACGUUACUCGCAGAAUAAGCACCGGCUAACUCUGUGCCAGCAGCCGCGGUAAUACAGAGGGUGCGAGCGUUAAUCGGAUUUACUGGGCGUAAAGCGUGCGUAGGCGGCUUUUUAAGUCGGAUGUGAAAUCCCUGAGCUUAACUUAGGAAUUGCAUUCGAUACUGGGAAGCUAGAGUAUGGGAGAGGAUGGUAGAAUUCCAGGUGUAGCGGUGAAAUGCGUAGAGAUCUGGAGGAAUACCGAUGGCGAAGGCAGCCAUCUGGCCUAAUACUGACGCUGAGGUACGAAAGCAUGGGGAGCAAACAGG